UACGAAGGGGGCUAGCGUUGUUCGGAAUUACUGGGCGUAAAGCGUAUGCAGGCGGAUCAUUAAGUCGGGGGUGAAAUCCCGAGGCUCAACCUCGGAACUGCCUUCGAUACUGAUGAUCUUGAGUCCGGGAGAGGUGAGUGGAACUGCGAGUGUAGAGGUGAAAUUCGUAGAUAUUCGGAAGAACACCAGUGGCGAAGGCGACAUACUGGCUCAUUACUGACGCUGAGGCUCGAAAGCGUGGGGAGCAAACAGG
rnacentral:rRNA from 1 species